rnacentral:misc_RNA from 1 species
GAGCAGGUCUGUCCGAGCGUCUGCCAACCAAAUACAUCGACACCGUGUGGUGACGAGAGUGAGGAGCUGCAUUUGGUGACACUGCACUCCUUGAAAAUGUGCAAGUCCACAUUGUGACAAGUCAGGAAGGCGACAGUCGUCACCAUAACAAGUUGUUUCGCCUUGUUGAGCCUGCAACCUUGGGGAACCAUCUGGACCUCGGAUCAGG